rnacentral:rRNA from 1 species
AACGAACGCUGGCGGCAUGCCUAACACAUGCAAGUCGAACGAGACCUUCGGGUCUAGUGGCGCACGGGUGCGUAACGCGUGGGAAUCUGCCCCUCGGUUCGGAAUAACACAGAGAAAUUUGUGCUAAUACCGGAUAAUGACUUCGGUCCAAAGAUUUAUCGCCGAGGGGUGAGCCCGCGUAAGAUUAGCUUGUUGGUGGGGUAAUGGCCUACCAAGGCGACGAUCUUUCGCUGGUCUGAGAGGAUGAUCAGCCACACUGGGACUGAGACACGGCCCAGACUCCUACGGGAGGCAGCAGUGGGGAAUAUUGGACAAUGGGCGAAAGCCUGAUCCAGCAAUGCCGCGUGAGUGAUGAAGGCCUUAGGGUUGUAAAGCUCUUUUACCAGGGAUGAUAAUGACAGUACCUGGAGAAUAAGCUCCGGCUAACUCCGUGCCAGCAGCCGCGGUAAU